rfam:Homo sapiens chromosome 1, GRCh38 reference primary assembly.
UAUUGAGUCCCUACUAUGUUCCAGGCACUGGGUAUCGUAGGUGCCUGGAACAUAGUAGGGACUCAAUA